CUGCUAAGCAGCCUGGUUCAAAUGCAGUUCCUGACUUCUGCCAGCAGCACUCGCCGUUUAUCUUCCUCGCACCCAGAAACACACGACUUACAACAGAAAUCUCUCUGGAGUUGCAUUAGAGAUGGUGUGACAAACAAGAGGGACAGCACAAGGGCUGUAAAGGAGAAGCAUCCCGACCUUUGAUCCACCUCUGGUGUUUAAGAGCAAAACAUGAAGGGAAGGCAGGAGAUGUACAAUGUGUCCUUCUCCCAGCACAACCUCACCUGAUCCUUUAAAAUCAGAAAUGGAGAACUAGGAGUUUAUUUAUAUCUCUGAGGAUAUGGCAGUAGUCCUGAGAAGAAAGUCAACAAGUGGGUGAGCCUGAGCUACCCUCUGCAGCAAAUUUUUCCAGUCUCAGUGCAUCUCAGCUGGAUGCAAUGCUCUGUGUGCAAGAUCAUCAUUGGAGUGCUGACGUGCAUGUGUGAAUUUAAGUGCAAUUAUUUACUUGUGUUCACUUGUGGGAGUUGAUUGAAUGGCCUGAGGAAAGCAGAUGAAUAAUGUAAGGAAAUCUUUGCAGAAUCACGCAAAGUUCUAAAUGGUUUUCAGUGCAACAUGAAACAUCCCUUACUCUUCUCUUCUUCUGAAUCCUCAGUUUCAUAUGCUUUCGUUGAAUUAUUUUUCUCCUUUCUCAUCAUCAAGUAAUCAACACUAAAUUGUUUAAAGGUGCUAUUACUGAACUUUCUGCUCUCUUCCAUGAAUUAAAAUUUUAUUUUGUCAAGCGGUGCAAGAACUCAGAAAAUAAAAACUCAGAAAAUAAACAUUUCUUUCCACUUUCUUGUGUGAUAUUGCUUUCUGUCAUUUCCAGUGUCCCCACACGUGUCAUUUUCAUCACGCUGAAAGCACAGUCCGUAACUGAAAAAUGGGCUUUGAAUUUGUGCAAUUGGCAAAAGCUGUGGCCUAAAAAGGCAUCGGAGCCCUUUCAAAAUGUUAUGAUAGAUUUUCCACAGAGAGGAUUUCUUUUUGCAUUGUACUGUAGAACAUAGAAUUAAUAUAAUGGAAAGAGAUGAUAGGCAUGCUCAGAAAGGCAGUUGUAUCUCUAAUAAUGGCUUCACAAAGUAUAGUUUGAAAGUGUAUUGUUUUCCCAUUGAAACUGGGAUAUAAAUGUGUAAUGUUACAUUACACAUUAAUAUAUUGUUUUCUAUGUAUUGUAAAGUAAAUUUUCUCUAUCAGAUGGUUACAAAUGAUGACUGGCAUCCUUUGGUAUCUAUGGAACCAAAGUAGCAUUAAUAAAAACAAUAAAGGC
rnacentral:lncRNA from 7 species